rnacentral:rRNA from 1 species
CACGUAGGGCGCAAGCGUUGUCCGGAAUUAUUGGGCGUAAAAAGCUCGUAGGCGGUCUGUUGCGUCUGCUGUGAAAACCCGGGGCUUAACCCCUGGCUUGCAGUGGAUACGGACAGACUAGAGGUAGGUAGGGGAGAAUGGAAUUCCCGGUGUAGCGGUGAAAUGCGCAGAUAUCGGGAGGAACACCGGUGGCGAAGGCGGUUCUCUGGGCCUUACCUGACGCUGAGGAGCGAAAGCGUGGGGAGCGAACAGG